GGGCGCUUAGCUCAGUUGGUAGAGCAACUCUUUUACACAGAGAAGGUCAGGGGUUCGAAUCCCUUAGCGCCCA
rnacentral:tRNA from 1 species